UAGGGAAUCUUCGGCAAUGAACGAAAGUCUGACCGAGCAACGCCGCGUGAGUGAAGAAGGUUUUCGGAUCGUAAAACUCCGUUGUUAGAGAAGAACAAGGACGUUAGUAACUGAACGUCCCCUGACGGUAUCUAACCAGAAAGCCACGGCUAACUACGUGCCAGCAGCCGCGGUAAUACGUAGGUGGCAAGCGUUGUCCGGAUUUAUUGGGCGUAAAGCGAGCGCAGGCGGUUUCUUAAGUCUGAUGUGAAAGCCCCCGGCUCAACCGGGGAGGGUCAUUGGAAACUGGGAGACUUGAGUGCAGAAGAGGAGAGUGGAAUUCCAUGUGUAGCGGUGAAAUGCGUAGAUAUAUGGAGGAACACCAGUGGCGAAGGCGGCUCUCUGGUCUGUAACUGACGCUGAGGCUCGAAAGCGUGGGGAGCAAACAGG
rnacentral:rRNA from 1 species